UUUUAGCCCCGAUAGGACUGGAAAUCCUUUUGUCCCGGGCUUCGGGACAAAAGAUUACUUCACUAAAUUUUAAUUUUAUUUGGAGUUCAGUGAACUUCGUUUGCAAGGGAUAGCGGGACUGGUC
rnacentral:misc_RNA from 1 species